UACGGAGGGGACUAGCGUUGUUCGGAAUUACUGGGCGUAAAGCGCACGUAGGCGGAUUUGUAAGUCAGGGGUGAAAUCCCGGGGCUCAACCUCGGAACUGCCUUCGAUACUGGAGAGCUUGAGUCCGGGAGAGGUGAGUGGAACUGCGAGUGUAGAGGUGAAAUUCGUAGAUAUUCGCAAGAACACCAGUGGCGAAGGCGGCUCACUGGCCCGGUACUGACGCUGAGGUGCGAAAGCGUGGGGAGCAAACAGG
rnacentral:rRNA from 1 species